AUUGAACGCUGGCGGCAUGCCUUACACAUGCAAGUCGAACGGCAGCACGGGUGCUUGCACCUGGUGGCGAGUGGCGAACGGGUGAGUAAUACAUCGGAACAUGUCCUGUAGUGGGGGAUAGCCCGGCGAAAGCCGGAUUAAUACCGCAUACGAUCUACGGAUGAAAGCGGGGGACCUUCGGGCCUCGCGCUAUAGGGUUGGCCGAUGGCUGAUUAGCCAGUUGGUGGGGUAAAGGCCUACCAAGGCGACGACCAGUAGCUGGUCUGAGAGGACGACCAGCCACACUGGGACUGAGAAACGGCCCAGACUCCUACGGGAGGCAGCAGUGGGGAAUUUUGGACAAUGGGCGAGAGCCUGAUCCAGCAAUGCCGCGUGUGUGAAGAAGGCCUUCGGGUUGUAAAGCACUUUUGUCCGGAAAGAAAUCCUUGGCCCUAAUACGGGCGGGGGAUGACGGUACCGGAAGAAUAAGCACCGGCUAACUACGUG
rnacentral:rRNA from 1 species